CCUACGGGAGGCAGUGGGGAAUUUUUUACAAUGGGGGAAAGCCUGAUGCAGCGAAGCCGCGUGGGGGAAGAAGACCCUAUUGUUGGUAAAAAGCUUUCAUCAGGGAAGAAGAAGCAAAGUGACGGUACCUUCAGAAGAAGCCCCGGCUAAUUACGUGCCAGCAGCCGCGGUAAUACGUAGGGGGCGAGGGUUACCCGGAAUCACUGGGGGUAAAGGGAGCGUAGGUGGCCUAACAUGUCAACUGUGAAAACCCGGAGCUCAACUCCGGACUUGCAGUUGAAACUGGUAGGCUUGAGGACGGUAGAGGAAAACGGAAAUUCCAGUGUAGGGGUAAAAUCCUUAGAUAUUGGCAGGAACCCCGGUGAGGAAGGGGGUUUUCUGGGCCGGUUCUGACACUGAUGCUCGAAAGCCAGGGGGGCGAACGGGAUUAGAUACCCCGGUAGUCCUGGCCCUAAACGAUGUUCACUAGGUGUGGGGAGCGGAAAGCUCUCCGUGCUACUA
rnacentral:rRNA from 1 species